ACUGGCAACAUUUAUGCGCUAAAUGAUGCCAGAGGAAGUAAAAUGUUCCUCAAGAGGGAAAAAGCCAUCUGCUCCUGGGCCAGCUUCAUGCUUAUAAUUGUCACCAAUAAUGACUAGAUAAGAAGGAAAUGAGAAAUUACCUUGCUGACGGAAGAUGGAGACAUCAACAGGGUCUUGUUUUGCUGGCUCUGAGGGCUACAACUUCAGAGGCUAACGUUUCUCAGGGAUGUUAAGAUGCCUUAACACUUUGAAAAACUUGAAUCUGUUCCUAGUUGAACAAUAAGAACCUACCUUGUCCAUCCAGGAAGGAGAUCCUCUCCAUGAUGCAACGGAGACUGUGGAGUCAGUGGUGAGGCAAGGAAGGGCAGAAGGAAAAAGACUAAAGGCAAGGCGAAAGGAGAAGAGACGGUAGUGCAGACUUCAAAGAGACUGCCAGUUGCACUGCAAACCAUCCACCAAAGCUCGUUGCUGUGGCCUCCCUGGGAAGACAAAUGUUUUGUCUCAUCUGAAUCCACCUAAGAAGAUGCAUAUACAAAGACAAUACCCUUCCCAAACAUCUCUGAGCCCAGGAAACAAGUGUCCUGUCUUCUAAUUCCAACCUCUCCACUUUUCCCACUGUUCCAAUGUUAAUACCUCAUCAUUGUUAGUCCCUGUUCCUCUUCCUUCUCCACCCUCUUUCUACCCUUGUUAUCCGUUGGAUCUUUUAAGGCUAAAGAAAAAUAAAAGAAAAUAAAGGCUA